rnacentral:rRNA from 1 species
ACGAACGCUGGCGGCGUGCUUAACCCAUGCAAGUCGCACGGAAAGACCCUGCUUUUGUGGGGUGCUCGAGUGGCGAACGGGUGAGUAACACGUGAGUAACCUGCCCUUGACUUUGGGAUAACUUCAGGAAACUGGGGCUAAUACCGGAUAGGAGCUCCUGCUGCAUGGUGGGGGUUGGAAAGUUUCGGCGGUUGGGGAUGGACUCGCGGCUUAUCAGCUUGUUGGUGGGGUAGUGGCUUACCAAGGCUUUGACGGGUAGCCGGCCUGAGAGGGUGACCGGCCACAUUGGGACUGAGAUACGGCCCAGACUCCUACGGGAGGCAGCAGUGGGGAAUAUUGCACAAUGGGCGGAAGCCUGAUGCAGCAACGCCGCGUGCGGGAUGACGGCCUUCGGGUUGUAAACCGCUUUCGCCUGUGACGAAGCGUGAGUGACGGUAAUGGGUAAAGAAGCACCGGCUAACUACGCG